AGGAGGAGAGACAGCAGGGGAAAACAGACAGCAGAGACAGACAGGCAGAGGGAUUACUGGGGGAACAGACAGAACACUGAGUUUCUCUAUGCUUCCUCUCUUCCUGAAGCGGCUGUCUGACACUGUCGAUAUCAAAGCACAUAUUGGAACACAGACAGGAAAUGAGAAGGCUCCCAGCACACUGGGCCCCGAGGAGCACGGCUGAUGCCACUCUAAUAAUCAGAGCACAAGAGCUUGCCACCACAAAGACCAGCCAUGAGCUGCCGGACAGCUGAGAGGAGCAGGGUGUAACCUAUAGUGGCAACUGAAGUCCCAGUGUGUUUUACCUUUUUGUUUGCAUGAUGUGCUGAACUGCUAACUCAACCUUUUUUUUGGUGUUCAACUUUUGCCUCCACAUCCCCUUAGUACCCCUUAGUAAGACACUUUUGUUUUUAGCUUCCCGUUUUGGAAGUUGUUUUCUGUUACCCUUCAUUGUAAGUAAAUGGCUUUUUUUAUUUUCAAUGUAAA